AGCGAACGCUGGCGGCAGGCUUAACACAUGCAAGUCGAACGCCCGGGCAACCGGGAGUGGCAGACGGGUGAGUAACGCGUGGGAACGUGCCCUUUGGUUCGGAAUAACUCAGGGAAACUUGAGCUAAUACCGGAUAAGCCCUACGGGGGAAAGAUUUAUCGCCGAAGGAUCGGCCCGCGUCCGAUUAGCUAGUUGGUGAGGUAACGGCUCACCAAGGCGACGAUCGGUAGCUGGUCUGAGAGGAUAAUCAGCCACACUGGGACUGAGACACGGCCCAGACUCCGACGGGAGGCAGCAGUGGGGAAUAUUGGACAAUGGGGGCAACCUUGAUCCAGCCAGGCCGCGUGAGUGAUGAAGGCCCUAGGGUUGUAAAGCUCUUUCGGCGGGGACGAUAAUGACGGUACCCGCAGAAGAAGCCCCGGCUAACUUCGUGCCAGCAGCCGCAGUAAAAC
rnacentral:rRNA from 1 species